GAAGGCGAUCAGAUACCUCCCUAGUUCUGACCGUAAACAAUGCCACCUGACGAUCCGCCGGGGUUACUAUCAUGACUCCCCGGGCAGUUCCCGGGAAACCCAAGCUUUCGGGUUCCAGGGAAAGUAUGGUUGCAAAGCUGAAACUUAAAGGAAUUGACGGAAGGGCACCACCAGGAGUGGAGCCUGUGGCUUAAUUUGACUCAACACGGGGAACCUCACCCGGCCCCAACACCGCGAGGAUUGACCGAUUAGGAACUCUUUCUCGAUUCCGUGGGUGGUGGUGCAUGGCCGUUUUUAGUUGGGGGAACGAUUUGGCUGGUUAAUUCCGAUAACCAACGAAACUCUAGGGGUAAAUAGCCCGAGCCGUUUUUGAUCUUGCCGUCCAUCCUCGUCCCAACCUUCCGCGCUU
rnacentral:rRNA from 1 species